rnacentral:rRNA from 1 species
AUUGAACGCUGGCGGCAUGCUUUACACAUGCAAGUCGAACGGCAGCACGGGUGCUUGCACCUGGUGGCGAGUGGCGGACGGGUGAGUAAUGCAUCGGAACGUGUCCUGAAGUGGGGGAUAACGCAUCGAAAGAUGUGCUAAUACCGCAUAUUCUCUGAGGAGGAAAGUAGGGGAUCGAAAGACCUUAUGCUUUUGGAGCGGCCGAUGUCUGAUUAGCUAGUUGGUAGGGUAAUGGCUUACCAAGGCGACGAUCAGUAGUUGGUCUGAGAGGACGACCAGCCACACUGGGACUGAGACACGGCCCAGACUCCUACGGGAGGCAGCAGUGGGGAAUUUUGGACAAUGGGCGCAAGCCUGAUCCAGCCAUGCCGCGUGAGUGAAGAAGGCCUCGGUUGU